GACGAACCGAGCGAACGUUAUUCGGAAUCACUGGGCUUAAAGGGCGCGUAGGCGGGUCGUCAAGUCAGGGGUGAAAGCCCGCAGCUCAACUGCGGAAGUGCCUUUGAUACUGGCGGCCUUGAGGGAGGUAGGGGCGUGCGGAACUUCCGGUGGAGCGGUGAAAUGCGUAGAUAUCGGAAGGAACACCGGUGGCGAAAGCGGCGCGCUGGACCUCUUCUGACGCUGAGGCGCGAAAGCCAGGGGAGCGAACGGG
rnacentral:rRNA from 1 species